rnacentral:rRNA from 1 species
ACGCACGCUGGCGGCCGGCUUAACACAUGCAAGUCGAGCGAGACCUUCGGGUCUAGCGGCGGACGGGUGAGUAACGCGUGGGAACGUGCCCUUCUCUACGGAAUAGCCCCGGGAAACUGGGAGUAAUACCGUAUACGCCCUUUGGGGGAAAGAUUUAUCGGAGAAGGAUCGGCCCGCGUUGGAUUAGGUAGUUGGUGGGGUAAUGGCCCACCAAGCCGACGAUCCAUAGCUGGUUUGGGAGGAUGAUCAGCCACACUGGGACUGAGACACGGCCCCGACUCCUACGGGAGGGCGCAGUGGGGGAUAUUUGAAAAAGGGGGGAACCCUGAUCCAGCCAUGCCGGGUGGGGGGUGAAGGGCUUUGGGUUGGAAAGCUCUUUUAACCGGGAAAGUAAUGACGGUACCCGAGAAAAAAGCCCCGGCUAACUUCGUG